rnacentral:rRNA from 5 species
AAAUUGAAGAGUUUGAUCAUGGCUCAGAUUGAACGCUGGCGGCAGGCCUAACACAUGCAAGUCGAACGGUAACAGGAAGCAGCUUGCUGCUUUGCUGACGAGUGGCGGACGGGUGAGUAAUG